rnacentral:rRNA from 1 species
CACCGCGGUUAUACGAGGGGCCCAAGUUGAUAAUUUUCGGCGUAAAGAGUGGUUAUGGAAUAUAUAAAAUAAGGCCGCACCUCUUCAAGGCUGUCAUACGCACCCGAAGAAAGGAAGCCCGACCACGAAAGUGGCUUUAACUCGCCUGACCCCACGAAAGCUAUGGCA